rnacentral:lncRNA from 1 species
AUGAAUCAUAAAUGAACACUUGGAAAAAGGUUCAAUGUUGGCAUUUUAUCAAAAUAGGUUAAUAAUUUCUUAUUCCUUUCUCAUAAAAAACUGGAUAAAUAGAAAUUUUAAUCUUCAUAAAAAUGGAAAUUCCAAUGCAGAUCAAGUAUUUGGUUGUUUGGUUUGUUGAAAGCUUGACUUUGUUCGCUUCAUUUAGACAGACUAUAAGAUAAAAAAACUUUAACACUAGAAACAAAAUUUGGCAUUAGAAUCACAGAGAACAGGAUUUUGAAAUGCCUCUGUAAGUUUAUAGAUGUUCCUAAAGUUCCAUGUUUAAUAUUUUGAAUAAAAUAGGUGGCCAUGCUCAGGAUCUAGGAAGUUAAUAGUAGCCUCUUUCUUUUUCAGAUACGUGUUGACCAGUGGUCAUGCCACUGCCUAUCUAUUUGUUGAAAAUAUUGUUUACACAGUGAUUAGCAGAUUUCUCCAUUCUUCAAAUGACCAUUUCACAUCUACCUGCAAAGGAGAGCAACACUCAGAAUGGUGGUGUUUCUCAAAUCAUCCAAGUAUGUUCUUGUUACUGAUUUUCAGAAAGCUGGUUUUGAGACUACAGCUUGGAUUAAAGCCAAGCACAUCUGCAAAAAAGACAUUGCUGGAGGAGGUGCAAGAGCUGGAAACCAAGUUUCCUGUCCUGGGAAAAGCAGUGGUGUGGAAGAGCAGUGGAAAGAGGUAGGGAACUUCAUCCCAAUACCUACAGAAAACAAAUUCUCCCGGUCCCUUUCUCUGUUUUUCUAUUUAUACAUUUUUUUUCGCAUAUUGGUUUUCUAUAGAAGCACAACAUGCUCAGUUUUAAGCAUUUUUGGUUAUACUCAAAUUUAAGUUGCACUCUUUCAGUGGCCACAUGAAAUCUGACUUUCUGGGUCACUGGGUCUGUCUCUAGGUAAGAAUGGGGGUUUUAUUGGGUUUAGAGGUGAGCAAAACUAUCCAUGUGCCAAAAAAUUGAUGUCAUAGCAUUAUUAUCUUAAGGUGGAAAAGUGUAGGUUUAGCAAUAUUGUUGGGGAAACCAGCCCCACACCACCCAGCCCCACACCACCCAGUGGGUACCCCCAGUUUGGCGGAGACCAAGGAGUUAGAGACAGAAUAAGCAUUUAAAAGGUGGGUCCAGGGGACCGUAGCAUCAGAGGCUUGCUCACUGCCCAAAGCUCUCGGGCUCCACCCAAUUUAUUGCUUUACAAGAUCUUUGUUCUUAGGGCAGAUGGGAGGGGUUGGAAGGGAUGAGGAAAAGGAUUAAUCAGUGAAGGAGAACUCAAUAAGAUGCAUAGCAGAGGCGGUUUCUGUGAAUUUCCUUGAGCAAAGGCAUGUGUCUAAACUACUUAAGAUCUUUGACUUAUCGGGACUGAAAUGGGUGGGAGUGGGUUUCAGGAGGAGCCAAGAUGUUUGAUUGUACUCCACUGCCUUCCACUGCCUCAAGGGAGUGUUACCUCCCUGAGCAACCUGUGGAAUGUCGCUGAGUGGUUAUGCUCUCGGGGCAUAAAGACAUGAAGGAAAUAAGGAGACUUUUCUCCUGAGAGGCCGCCCAUGGCUCCCCAUGGGUAUCUCACACAGGGGAGACCAACUCAUCUGACAGCCCAGAAACUCUCUUUCCCACAAGUCUUCCACAGAGGAGUUAAAUCCAAGCCUUUGAAUUUCAAACUCAAUUAUUGUAUCCAAGGAUGAGUAUCACACAUGAAGGUUUGCAUGUGAAAUAAUUCAUGUUAUUAUUCAUUUAAAUCUUGUUAAUCCCACUUCAGCAUAUCUAGGUGAGGGAGUUGUUUUUAAUUAACUAAUAUUACUGCUGGGGUUGAGAAGGAUCGUGUGAACUUUGGAACAAUAUUGCUUCUUGCAUUCCUAAUUGCUUAUGAACAUCAGCCUGCCUACCUUCCCUGCACGUAACAGCUAGGCCUGUGCAUAAUUUUUGUUUCAUCACAUAUGUUAAGACUGUCUUAGAGUGUACUCUGUUAAUAUUUCUAUACCACCAAGAAAAAUUUUCCUGGCCUUGAGAAAAAUUUUCAGAGUACUAAAAAGCCAUUGCUGUAUUAAGGAUAUGGAAUGUCUAGAAUAUUUUGAAUAUCAUUCUAUAAAUGCUUAGAAGGAAAUCUGUAAGUAACUUCUAAUGAAACACAUAUCUAGAAUUAAAAUAUUUAUAGAGAUUUCCACUUUGUGUAGGGUUUUAUAUUUUAUUUCUACCACAUUUUAAA